AUGGGGAAACCCAACAUAUUUGCUUUCGCACACAAGGAAUGGAGAACAGAGAUUUUAAGUUCUGCUCAUUCAUUCACAUCGCCAGACUCCAUAGAAUUGAAGUUCUCAUCGUCAUCCAGGUUUCAGCAUGAGAUUCGGGACAAACUAGAUCUUGGUCUGAGUCAGGCUCAGCUCCUUCUGAAUUGUAUGAAUAUCCAUCCUCAAUUUCUCAGUGUCUUUGAAGUUACAAGCACAUGAACAUAUUGAAGACUUCAAGAAAGAAACCUGUUACCGUCUGCCCAUCCUUCUCUUUCCAAACUUAUUAGGUGAGGAACUGGCCUUCUAAUUUAUAAUCCUUGAGAAAUGAUGUAGUAAGGAAAUAUAUUAGGCCUUCCCCGAUUAUAAUUCUUUUUGGUUCUUUAUUUUGUUGUUGUAAUAUGUAUGAUUAUCUUGGCUUGUAUUACUUUUGCUGUUCUUAAAAUGUUCUGCGUUUGAUUUUGAAUAUUUCCAAAAUUCAUAAAAGUUCAGAAAAUAAUGUAACAAGCUCUGUGAAGAUGCUAUUCAGGUCCCACAGAGGUUAAGUUGGAACAUUUGUCUUAGUUCAUACUCUCCAAAAGUAGAAAACAAAGAAGGCAACAGGAACAACAGAUCUCUCUUUUUGAAAUCUUUUUAUUUUUCAUUCCAUAUUUGUUUUUGAGGUUUAUUUAUAUUGAAACAUA
rnacentral:lncRNA from 1 species